rnacentral:rRNA from 1 species
UACGUAGGGUGCAAGCGUUGUCCGGAAUUAUUGGGCGUAAAGAGCUCGUAGGCGGUCUGUCGCGUCUGCUGUGAAAAACUCGGGGCUUAACCCCGGGCCUGCAGUGGGUACGGGCAGACUAGAGUGCGGUAGGGGAGACUGGAAUUCCUGGUGUAGCGGUGAAAUGCGUAGAUAUCAGGAGGAAUACCGAUGGCGAAGGCAGGUCUCUGGGCUGACACUGACGCUCAUGCACGAAAGCGUGGGGAGCAAACAGG